rnacentral:rRNA from 1 species
AGCGAACGCUGGCGGCAGGCCUAACACAUGCAAGUCGAACAGACCCUUCGGGGUUAGUGGCGGACGGGUGAGUAACACGUGGGAACGUGCCUUUAGGUUCGGAAUAGCUCCUGGAAACGGGUGGUAAUGCCGAAUGUGCCCUUCGGGGGAAAGAUUUAUCGCCUUUAGAGCGGCCCGCGUCUGAUUAGCUAGUUGUUGAGGUAAUUGCUCACCAAGGCGACGAUCAGUAGCUGGUCUGAGAGGAUGACCAGCCACAUUGGGACUGAGACACGGCCCAAACUCCUGCGGGAGGAAGCAGUGGGGAAUCUUGCGCAAUGGGCGAAAGCCUGACGCAGCCAUGCCGCGUGGAUGAUGAAGGUCUUAGGAUUGUAAAAUCCUUUCACCGGUGAAGAUAAUGACUGUAGCCGGAGAAGAAGCCCCGGCUAACUUCGUGCCAGCAGCCGCCGUAAUAC